CAUUAUAAAUAAUGAGAGAUUGGGGCAUGACUCUUUUAGGCUUUGUCAGAUUUUUUAAUGAAAUUCUGAUUUCAUUAUAGUUAAUUUUGUAGCUGUUUGCCUUUAUUUUUGAUUUGAUAAUCUUAGAAGAAAAUCACCUAUUCCUUGAAAGCUAGACAGAACUAAUUAAUUCAUUGGUUCAAUCAGUAGUUGUUGAGUGCUUAUUGUGUAUCAGGUGCUUUACAUAAUGAAUAGCAUCAGUUUUAAUAUUUCUGUUGAAUGCUUUUUCUUUUCUUU
rnacentral:lncRNA from 1 species